CAGUCAGAGAGGAACAGGUGAUAUGAGAGGCACCUCAAAUCCACCUGACAUAGGCAGCUUCAGUGAGCUUCUGCCAGAACACAGGCCCCUAGAGCCCUCUAUUCUCUUCAGGCCUCUUGGCUGACUCUGCACACCCUGAGCCCUUGGCUUCCUGGAUUUCUACUGGAGCCUUAAAACUCCACGUGUCCAAACCUCCUUUCCUGCCCCAGGGGGCUCCUCCUCCUGCUUUGCCUCUCUCUGCUCCUGGAGCCCUGCCAUUGUCUAAGCAAGAAGCCUGCAAGCAAAGCACAUGGCGUAAAUAGAUGCCCCGUGAUUACAGACAGAGACGCAGUCAAGGGGAACUCUGGAAAGCAGAUGAUGCCACCGCCGGCCUCCAUUCUGCAGCUGUGGGGCAGUGGGAAGGGCUGGUUCUGUCAGUUUGCUUUCAAGGUGUUCCCUUCAUCAGUUCUUCCUUACUCCCUCCUUUCUUAGCCUGUGCUGCAGACGUCACUCACAAGGGUUAGCCAUUGUGAGGUUGGCCAUUGAGGUUGAAAGAAGUUGUUAACUUUUGGCCUUCAGUGGGACUGCGGGAAAGAGGCAGCUUGGAGACUGGCCCUAAAUAACAUGCUACAGAAGUUAAGGCUUGAUGCCAGCUCUCUCCCGGGGUCCCUGGACAUCUACCUUGGCUAUGGCUAAGCAACCGUGGGGAAAGAUUAAAGCAAGAGCCCAGUC